ACAUAGAUAGCAGUAAAAAAAUAUAAUAUUAUUUGAAAACAUAGAUAACAUUAUAUUAAGUAAAAAGAGUAACACUUAUGUUAUUAAAAAAGUUAUUAGAAGUUCAUUAUACUAUAAGAAACUAUAUAUUUGGGCCAGCUUUAAAAUAUAUGAAAAUAUCCCAAGCUAAUUACCUAAAAAUAUCUUUUGUCAAAAAUAAUCAUAAAACAAAAUUUAAACUUUAUAUACAUAUUUCAAAUCAAAAUAUUAAUUUAAAAUUGAUUUAUAUCAAAAAUGAUUCAAAAAUAUACAUAUAUUUAGA
rnacentral:lncRNA from 1 species